rnacentral:tRNA from 1 species
GGGAGUGAAGCAUACUGGUGUAUGCCGCCUGUCUUCAACACUGGUGCCUAAGGUUCGAAUCCUUACACUCCCGAGCAAUAAUGCCCUC